UGGGGAAUCUUGCACAAUGGGCGAAAGCCUGAUGCAGCAACGCCGCGUGCGGGAAGACAGCCCUAGGGUUGUAAACCGCUUUCAGCAGGGAAGAAACUGACGGUACCUGCAGAAGAAGAUGCGGCCAACUACGUGCCAGCAGCCGCGUGACACGUAGGCAUCAAGCGUUAUCCGGAUUUAUUGGGCGUAAAGAGCUCGUAGGCGGUUCGGUAAGUCGGGUGUGAAAACUCUGGGCUCAACCCAGAGAGGCCACUCGAUACUGCUGUGACUAGAGUGCGGUAGGGGAGCGGGGAAUUCCUGGUGUAGCGGUGAAAUGCGCAGAUAUCAGGAGGAACACCAGUGGCGAAGGCGCCGCUCUGGGCCGUAACUGACGCUGAGGAGCGAAAGCAUGGGUAGCAAACAGGAUUAGAUACCCUGGUAGUCCAUGCCGU
rnacentral:rRNA from 1 species